rnacentral:rRNA from 1 species
GAGGAAAAGAAACUAACAAGGAUUCCCCUAGUAACUGCGAGUGAAGAGGGAAAAGCUCAAAUUUAAAAUCUGGCGGUUCUUGCAGCCGUCCGAGUUGUAAUUUAGAGAAGUGUUAUCCGCGCUGGACCGUGUACAAGUCUCCUGGAAUGGAGCGUCAUAGAGGGUGAGAAUCCCGUCUUUGACACGGACUGCCAGGGCUUUGUGAUGCGCUCUCGAAGAGUCGAGUUGUUUGGGAAUGCAGCUCAAAAUGGGUGGUAAAUUCCAUCUAAAGCUAAAUAUUGGCGAGAGACCGAUAGCGAACAAGUACCGUGAGGGAAAGAUGAAAAGAACUUUGGAAAGAGAGUUAAACAGUACGUGAAAUUGUUGAAAGGGAAACGCUUGAAGUCAGUCGCGUUGGCUGGGGAUCAACCUUGCUCUUUUGCUUGGCGUACUUCCCAGUUGAUGGGUCAGCAUCAGUUUUGACCGCUGGAUAAAGGUUGAGGGAAUGUGGCAUCUUCGGAUGUGUUAUAGCCCUCAGCUGUAUACAGCGGUUGGGACUGAGGAACUCAGCACGCCGCAAGGCCGGGUCUUUGACCACGUACGUGCUUAGGAUGCUGGCAUAAUGGCUUUAAUCGACCCGUCUUGAAACACGGACCAAGGAGUCUAACAUGCCUGCGAGUGUUUGGGUGGAAAACCCGAGCGCGUAAUGAAAGUGAAAGUUGAGAUCUCUGUCGUGGAGAGCAUUGACGCCCAGACCAGACCUUUUGUGACGGACCUGCGGUAGAGCAUGUAUGUUGGGACCCGAAAGAUGGUGAACUAUGCCUGAAUAGGGUGAAGCCAGAGGAAACUCUGGUG